UACGUAGGGUGCGAGCGUUAAUCGGAAUUACUGGGCGUAAAGCGUGCGUAGGCGGUUCGUUAGUCAGCUGUGAAAGCCCCGGGCUCAACCUGGGAAUUGCGGUUGAAACUGGCGAACUAGAAUCUGGCAGAGAGGGGUGGAAUUCCACGUGUAGCAGUGAAAUGCGUAGAGAUGUGGAGGAACACCGAUGGCGAAGGCAGCCCCCUGGGCUGAGAUUGACGCUCAGGCACGAA
rnacentral:rRNA from 1 species